rnacentral:rRNA from 1 species
AUUGAACGCUGGCGGCAGGCCUAACACAUGCAAGUCGAGCGGAUGAAGGGAGCUUGCUCCUGGAUUCAGCGGCGGACGGGUGAGUAAUGCCUAGGAAUCUGCCUGGUAGUGGGGGAUAACGUCCGGAAACGGGCGCUAAUACCCCAUACGUCCUGAGGGGGAAAGUGGGGGAUCUUCGGACCUCACGCUAUCAGAUGAGCCUAGGUCGGAUUAGCUAGUUGGUGGGGUAAAGGCCUACCAAGGCGACGAUCCGUAACUGGUCUGAGAGGAUGAUCAGUCACACUGGAACUGAGACACGGUCCAGACUCCUACGGGAGGCAGCAGUGGGGAAUAUUGGACAAUGGGCGAAAGCCUGAUCCAGCCAUGCCGCGUGUGUGAAGAAGGUCUUCGGAUUGUAAAGCACUUUAAGUUGGGAGGAAGGGCAGUAAGUUAAUACCUUGCUGUUUCGACGUUACCAACAGAAUAAGCACCGGCUAACUUCGUG